AGAGUUUGAUCAUGGCUCAGAUUGAACGCUGGCGGCAGGCCUAACACAUGCAAGUCGAACGGUAACAGAAAGCAGCUUGCUGCUUUGCUGACGAGUGGCGGACGGGUGAGUAAUGUCUGGGAAACUGCCUGAUGGAGGGGGAUAACUACUGGAAACGGUGGCUAAUACCGCAUAACGUCGCAAGACCAAAGAGGGGGACCUUCGGGCCUCUUGCCAUCAGAUGUGCCCAGAUGGGAUUAGCUUGUUGGUGAGGUAACGGCUCACCAAGGCGACGAUCCCUAGCUGGUCUGAGAGGAUGACCAGCCACACUGGAACUGAGACACGGUCCAGACUCCUACGGGAGGCAGCAGUGGGGAAUAUUGCACAAUGGGCGCAAGCCUGAUGCAGCCAUGCCGCGUGUAUGAAGAAGGCCUUCGGGUUGUAAAGUACUUUCAGCGGGGAGGAAGGUGUUGUGGUUAAUAACCGCAGCAAUUGACGUUACCCGCAGAAGAAGCACCGGCUAACUCCGUGCCAGCAGCCGCGGUAAUACGGAGGGUGCAAGCGUUAAUCGGAAUUACUGGGCGUAAAGCGCACGCAGGCGGUCUGUCAAGUCGGAUGUGAAAUCCCCGGGCUCAACCUGGGAACUGCAUUCGAAACUGGCAGGCUUGAGUCUUGUAGAGGGGGGUAGAAUUCCAGGUGUAGCGGUGAAAUGCGUAGAGAUCUGGAGGAAUACCGGUGGCGAAGGCGGCCCCCUGGACAAAGACUGACGCUCAGGUGCGAAAGCGUGGGGAGCAAACAGGAUUAGAUACCCUGGUAGUCCACGCCGUAAACGAUGUCUACUUGGAGGUUGUGCCCUUGAGGCGUGGCUUCCGGAGCUAACGCGUUAAGUAGACCGCCUGGGGAGUACGGCCGCAAGGUUAAAACUCAAAUGAAUUGACGGGGGCCCGCACAAGCGGUGGAGCAUGUGGUUUAAUUCGAUGCAACGCGAAGAACCUUACCUGGUCUUGACAUCCACGGAAGUUUUCAGAGAUGAGAAUGUGCCUUCGGGAACCGUGAGACAGGUGCUGCAUGGCUGUCGUCAGCUCGUGUUGUGAAAUGUUGGGUUAAGUCCCGCAACGAGCGCAACCCUUAUCCUUUGUUGCCAGCGGUUAGGCCGGGAACUCAAAGGAGACUGCCAGUGAUAAACUGGAGGAAGGUGGGGAUGACGUCAAGUCAUCAUGGCCCUUACGACCAGGGCUACACACGUGCUACAAUGGCGCAUACAAAGAGAAGCGACCUCGCGAGAGCAAGCGGACCUCAUAAAGUGCGUCGUAGUCCGGAUUGGAGUCUGCAACUCGACUCCAUGAAGUCGGAAUCGCUAGUAAUCGUGGAUCAGAAUGCCACGGUGAAUACGUUCCCGGGCCUUGUACACACCGCCCGUCACACCAUGGGAGUGGGUUGCAAAAGAAGUAGGUAGCUUAACCUUCGGGAGGGCGCUUACCACUUUGUGAUUCAUGACUGGGGUGAAGUCGUAACAAGGUAACCGUAGGGGAACCUGCGGUUGGAUCACCU
rnacentral:rRNA from 1 species